CACGUAGGAGGCAAACGUUAUCCGGAUUUACUGGGCGUAAAGCGCGUGUAGGUGGUUCUGUAAGUAGGGCGUGAAAGCUCCCGGCUCAACUGGGAGAGGCCGUUCUAUACUGCAGAGCUAGAGGAUGGUAGAGGGAGGUGGAAUUCCAGGUGUAGCGGUGGAAUGCGCAGAUAUCUGGAGGAACACCAGUGGCGAAGGCGGCCUCCUGGACCAUUCCUGACACUCAGACGCGAAAGCUAGGGUAGCAAACGGGAUUAGAUACCCGUGUA
rnacentral:rRNA from 1 species